GCGAUCUAACACUCAUCCCCUAUCCUUAGGAUAGGGCAUAAUUAGUACAUCCCAGAGUUCUCCUUUAUGGGGUUAAGCACAGGCCCAGACUGCUGAUAGCAGCCUUGAUCAUCCAGCUAUAAUGCGUGCUCAGCUCCUGAGAGAGCGUCAUAGAACAGGAGCAGGCACAGGGCGUACAAUUACAACCUGCGUCCUUAAGGGGUUAAAGGGAAACUGACAACUGGGUGAUCUGCACUAAAGGCCAUACAUGUGGUUGAACCAUAGACUUAGAGCCUCUGGACAGGCACAAAGACCACCUGUUAUAUGUGAAAUAUGGAACAAGGAUGGAACAUAAUUUUACAAAAACACUGCUUAAAUCCUCACGUGUAAAAGCACCUUUACGGUAGUUCAGGUGCAAUGUAAUAAAAGUUUGGGAAGAUUUUGGUUUAGUAUCUGAUAACAGCUGUGUGAUAGCCAGGUACGGGAUGGUGUGUCCCUGUACUUCUCCUGUCCUGUCAGACAGAGUCUCUCCAUGUCCCCAGGGCCCCCUUUAUUUGUUAUCCCCUAUGUACAUAAGUUGUAUAAUAAAAUGUACUGUUUCUUUAAUAGCUGUUACCAUGUGAUUGUUACCCAGGAGGCACUAGUGGCCAGGUGACCCCCCAAGUGACCUAUGGGUUCCUUGCACACACCCCUAUAAAACCAGGCUACAAGCUCUCUCUCUUCCAGCAUUCUUGCUCCUGCUGAGGUCCAGUGCAGUCGUCUGAGUGUGUCCAGAGCAUUGGAGGCCCCAAGCCUAAAGUCUGCAGCCACAAAGUCAGCUCAGGUAAGCUCAAAGUCAUCUUCAUGUCAAUUGUCAAGUCAGUCAAGUCAAGUCUUCUAUAUAGUCACCCUAACCUGCGCUAAAGUGUCUCUACAUACUACAAGUCCCAGCAAGCCUGCGAGGUCCCCCUGUGUCACCUCCUUGGGAUUCUGGCUGUACUGCAUAGACUGUGUCAUCUGUCUAACCUCAGUAAAGCUACCGUUUGUCCGUAACUUGGCAUCGGUGUCUUCUUUGCCCCCCGUGCCUAGCCCAGGACCAGCGGUAUUCCCUUCGGGUGGUUAAAGCGUACCUGUCAUAGUGCAAAAAAAAGUGAUAUGUUACUCGGGACCCAAUCCUGAUCAUGUGCAUAUACAUUUUACGUGUCUGGGACCUAUAUAUCCAGAGAUAUAAGCAUUUAUCUGCUGGUGAGUUACUUUUUCAUUGUGCUGGCUGGAGGGGGCGUGUCAGUCUGUCUCCCUCACAGGAGCAAGCCUGUGCAGUCAGCCAAUCAGUACUCUCUACUCUGUAACCCUUUCCUCUCUGGUUUUAUGCUGUGUCAUGUGUCAGAGGAAGAUACUUGGAGGUUGCCUGCAGUAAUCAGAAGACAUUAUCGUGAAUUCAUAACAGGAUAAAAUGUAUAAAUAUAAAAAUAGAUCUUUAUAAAAUUAGUGCAAGGAUUUUUUAGAUAAAAGUACAGCAUUUUUAUGACUACAUGUUCUAUCUGUUUUAUCUUCUCCUAGUAAAGCUGGAUGCUAAUCAGACUCCUGAAUGUCUGAUCAACUUCUUUGUCAUUCAAGAGUCCGAGAAAGCUUUAACUAUUUCAGCAUGCUGGGAGUUGUAGUUUAGUAACAACUGAAGCUGCAAUGUUUGUAAAUAACUGUGUUAGAGCAGUGUUGCCUCCAGCUGUUUUAAAACUACAGCUCCCAGCAUGUCCACACAUCCUUUAUCUGUAGUUUUGCAUACACAAUAGAAAUCUAUACUGGAUACCGGUAUGCUUUACAGCCGGUAUCCAGUGUGCUGUAAAAUCUAGACUAGUCUGUCUGGCUAAAAGACAGGCGACCCCUAGUGGUGGCUAUUUUGAGCUUGAACUUCAGGUGAAAACGUAAAAAUUUUUUAACAGGUGUAUAUUGCGAAAUGUCAUAUUAUAAUGAGUCCUGCAAUAUAUGAAACGUUUUUAACAAUGACAGUGCCUCUUUAAGGCUAAACCAUGCCCUGGCAUCACGACAAAAAGUGGUUAAUAACAUCUGCCCCUUGGGUUAUAACAUCUACCCUGCAUUGCACCCCGCAGACACCACAACUUUUGGAGUCCUACGAACAGGAUACGGGUUUGUGCCAUAUGCCACAAGUCCUCCCCCCUAGUCUGUACUGUGUACAAUACUGUUAGCAAAAGACGCAUGCUGAUGCGGCAGAAGUUUGCGCCAGAAAGUUUACUAAUGGUGCUUGUGAAAUACAGGGGGAGGUGAAGGAAAGACUGUUUGCUGCUGUGGAGUGUAAAGAGUCGGUACCUGAAAGGGUUAAAUAGGUCCAUGUUACCUGCGUGCGCGAGUGGUCGCAGCUCUGCCCCGUCUGUCCCCAGCGGUGACGCCUCUUCAGUGUUGCGAGGAUGAACCAAAGAUCCGCCCUGUGUUGCACAGCCAUAUUGCAGGUUCCGGCGGCUGCGGCCGGCUCUUCUGUCUACUACCCGGCACCUGCUGCAGCACAGACUCUGGAAAUACCUUCGGGCAUCAGUAUCCAGUCUCUGGUGCCGGUAAAUAGCCACAUUAACCUCCUAGUGCCCAACUAUAUUUCCCGGUACCUGCAAAAUAGAGGGGGAGCGCCCCCAGAGGGCUCCCACCAUGCCAAGAUUAGGCCACUGUAGCACCUCAACCAUCAUCUUAAAGCGACAUCCCACUCAAUUCAUCUUAAAGUGACAGUGCACUCAAAUCAUCUUAAAGUGACUGCGCUCUCAAUUCUUCUUUAAGUGACAGUGCACUCAAUUAUUCUUAAAGUGACAACACACUCAAAAAGUUUACAGGAUGUCAGAACUCAGCUCUCCAGAUCAAUCAGGCGACAGUGCUCCUUCAUCUCCAGCAGUGAGGUCAUCACCUGCCCCAGCAGCCAGGAGGAUCUUGCCAGCCCUGCCUGUAGCCAACAUCAACAAUCUUGAUGUUCCAGCAUCUGCACGGGUAUUCGUGCGGAACCCUGUCCUCCCUACCUACAAUGGAGACCCCUUCACCCUGAGAGAUUUCAAGGAAAGGAUUGAGCUUGUCUUUUACUCUUUCCCUCCUAAUAAACAGGUGCAAUUGCUCACAGGACAACUACAGGGAUCAGCGUUAGAAGAAGUCCGCACCUAGCCAGGUACGUCUCCGGCUGUAUGAAAGGCGACAGAAGCCAGGUGAGACCUUGAGAGUGUAUGCUGUAGCCUUACAGAAUGCCCUAGAGACUGUCCAAAAAUUUGAAAUUAGAUGGUUUAACACCCGAGCAGGGCAACAAAGCAUUAAUGGGCAGAUUUAUUGAUGGGGCCCAUAACAAGUAGGACAAGGCCCAAAUGAGAAUGUUAGCAGUCCAAAACUCCAAUAUGUAAUUUUCUGCUUUUAAAAAGACUAGCUAUUCAAGUAAUUGAGUCCGGGACUGAGUCUAAAGAUAUUUGUACUCCCCUUACACCUGCUCAGGACCCCUCAGGGGUGACAGUCAGGCCUAUAGCGCCCCGUUCAACUGUACCGACUGCAGUCCAAGCAACCCUGUCAGUCACUACAGAUUCAGACCUACAGAGUAUUAGACAGGACAUUGAACAAUUGACUAAGGUUAUCAGGGAGCUUGCCAACCGGCCUGCUCCACUCUCCCUUGAGCAAUGCUUGCCUAGAAAAUUGCCUUCUACUUCUGCCCCGUGUGAUCCCAGUUACUGUGCUCCUUCACCCGCUAGGUAUUCUGGGAGUAAAAGACCCUUCUGUACUAACUGUAACAAGUCUGGCUACUGGACAAUACACUGCUGGGGUUUAAACGGGAUUUCCUCUGGGGUCAAGGACCGGCCCCCAGGAAAACAGCCAGCAGUCCCAACUUCAGAACGACCUAAGUCAGGACUCUCACUUUAUGUCUCCUCCUGCCCCUAUGUAACAGUUAUUGUAGAAGGUGUACUGUUGGAGGCAUUGAUAGAUACAGGGUCACAAAUGUCUACUAUACCUAAAAAAAAAAAUUUUUAUGAGCACUGGGAUGCUAGUUUAUUGUGUGAGCCUGAUAAUGUUGACUUUAGAGUAGUGGCGGGUAACGGGCAACCAAUACACAGACAUGGAUAUUUGGAGCCAACCAUUCAGUUGGGAAAGCAUGUACUUAGAGGGCAGGGAGUGAUUGUAACUGAUGUGGCAGAUAAGGGAUCUGCUGAGUUUAAAAUGGGAAUGAACAUUAUGAAAAACUGUUUUGCUAAAACAGUAGAUGCCUUGCAUGUCUCUCUUUCCCAUAUGUCUCCUUCAGGCCAGCGGGCUGCGCAGCACCAAUUAAAAGUUCUACAGGCGGAGCAGAAGUUUGCCAACAAGCAAAGUGAAAUCUGUAGAGUACGAAUUCAAAACAUCAGGUUGGUGACCUUGCAACCCAACACAGAGACCAUCAUCUGGUGCCGUGCACGUCCUGGAGUAAGGAACAAGGACUAUCAAGCUCUGCUGGAGCCUAUGCAAUUGGGAGAUCAUCCCCUUGUCCGAGCUGCGAGAAACCUUGUCAAAGUUACCAAAGGGAGAGUUCCAGUCCGGUUAGUCAAUCUGUCUGAUGUUGCUACUGUAUUAUCUACAUAUACUCCAGUAGCCCAGCUGUAUCUCCUAGAGUCAAGGGACAUCCUAACAGAACGCAAGAUGGCCCAAGAGAUUGCGGCCCAAGUGACUGAAGGAUCCGGUACAUGUCCUCCUGAGCCCUGGUGGGUGCAACUCCAAGUAGGAGAAGAUAAUUCCCCAAGGGAUCAAGUCAAGGGAGUCCUCAACAUCGCCAAAAGGUACCACAAGGUUUUUAGUAUACACCCCACAGACUUUGGACAUACUUCUAUGAUCCAAUACAGAAUCCUCACCGACGACAGCCCACCAAUUAAAGAAAGGCAUUGCCCGGUCGUGCCAGGCAUGUAGGCGGACGUCAUGCAAGAGAAUCAGAGUCCCUGGCCAGCACCCCUUGUUCUGGUCAAGAAAAGAGAUGAAACUAUCCGCUUUUGUGUUGACUACAGGAAGCUGAACAACGUCACACAUAAGGAUGCUUAUCCACUGCUAAAAAUUUAAGAUGUCACUCACAGCUCUCGGGUCGGCUGCUUACUUCUCCACCCUGUACUUAACCAGCGGAUAUUGGCUAGUGCCUAUGGCUUUUAAAGACGGAGAGAAGACUGCCUUUGUGACACCCAUGGGACUGUUCGAGUUUAGGAGUAUGCCAUUUGGGCUAUGUAAUGCCCCUGCUACAUUCCAGAGUUUGAUGGAGCGGUGCCUGGGCCAUCUGAAUUUUCAAAGUGUCCUAUUGUACCUGGACGAUGUCAUUGUGUAUUCCAAGUCCUACCAGGAACACCUCAGUCAUCUGUCAGACGUCUUCUAAGUCCUGAUCAAGCAUGGGCUGAAGAUCAAGCCGUCAAAUUUGCCGUAAUUUGCCGUAAUUUGCUUAAACCUCAGGUACACUACCUAGAUCAUGUUGUCAGCACUGAGGGAGUCCAUCCCAAUCUUGAAAAAGUGGAGGUUGUCAAUAACUGUCCUGCCCCCUGCACGGUGAAAGAUAUCAGGAGCUUCCUGGGAUUUGCCGGCUACUACCGCCACUUCAUUCCCCUCUUCGCCCAGAUUGCAGAACCCCUCGUAGCUCUCCUUCAGGUACGACGAAGGAGAACUACAGUGGAAGACUAUCUUUUGAAUGGGCCGAGGAGCAAGAGACAGCGUUCCGAGCUCUUAAACAUCUGAUGACAGAACCACCCAUCCUGGCGUAUCCAGACUACAGUUAGCCGUUCUGGCUGUAUACUGAUGCCAGCUUCGAAGGUCUGGGGCCUGUCCUGUCCCAAGUUCAAGAAGGGCAAGAGUGAGUGAUAGCCUAUGCCAGUCGUAAACCUGCGAGGAGCAGAAAAAAACAAGGCAAACUACAGCUUCUUCAAGCUGGAACUUCUCGCCCUCAUAUGGGACAUGACUGAAAAGUUUAAGGACUACUUGGCUGCCACGCCCUUCAGUGUCUACACGCAUAAUAACCGUUGACUCAUCUGAAUACUGCCAAGUUGGGUGCCAUCGAGCAGCUUUGGGCCUCAAGAUGGGCCAAUUACAGUUUCACCAUCAAGUACAGGAGCGGCAAGUCAAAUUUCAACGCUGAUGUGCUGUCUCCGAUGACCCCAGCGAAGAACCACCUGUCGAAGACGAGUGGGAAUACGUGGAGAUGCCCCCAUUUUACCAGAAGUUUGUGAAUCAGAAGGUUAAGACCGCCCUUAAGGACGUUGAACCAAGGUCCGAAAAAGUUCAAGAAGACCUAUGCACCUGGAAGAGUCUACAAGACAAAAGUCGACUCAUGGGGGAUCUGUUGGACUACCUUCUGACAAAAAAGGUACCAACCCGUCUACGCCAGGCCCAGUGUGACUAUGGCGACACAGGGAGCGACUGUUCAUGCUCAAGGGACUGUUGUACCGAAAUUCUUUGGAUCCGGUCUCUGGUGAUAGACCUCAUCAGAAUUUUGUUCCCCGAAGAGAUGCUGCGAUGGUCCUCAACGCAUAUCAUGAUCAAUCGGGACACUUUGGAGUCCACAAGACCGAGGCUACUGUCAGACAAAGAUUCUACUGGAUUGGAAUGCGGAGCGACAUUGAGAAAUGGUGCAGUGAGUGUGCAGUCUGCAACGUCACUAAGAAUGCGUGCAAGGACGCAAGAGCACCCCUCCAUUCCAUCCAGAGGGAAAGGCCUAAUCAGUUGGUCGCGCAAGACCAUGGCAAGUUGUCUCCUACCCGGUCCGGGUACACUUAUGCUCUCACCAUGGUGGAUCACUACUUCAAAUGUCUAGACCUCACAGCCAAGACAGCGGCCCAGAUGUACUACUCCAAUUGGGUGCAAAUCCUUGGGUGUCCGCAGUCUUUCCUAACGGACCGUGGAACGGCCUUGGAGGCCCAACUCUUCCAGGAGCUGUGUCAGUUCCACGCCUGUAAGAAACUUCGGACUACUGCUUACCACCCUCAAGGGAACGGGCUCUGUGAGCGCAUAAAUCAAGUCUUCAUCCACAUGUUGCGAGCAGCUUCUGUAUCCAAGCAUGAAGAGUGGCCCCGAUUGUUGCCCGAAUUGUUGGAGAUUUAUAACAACACGGUUUAUUGUUCUACAAGGAACACCCCUUUCUACCUGAUGAUGGGGUGUCAUGGGCAGCUGCCGAAGGACCGGGCAUUCAAUAACUACCCGCAAGCCUCCAUGGAGUGGGUCUCUCACCAUCAAAGAAGGAGCCAAGAAGCAAAAGAGAUUGUUGGCAAAAAGAUGGGCAAGGCUCAACAAAGAUAACAGCAAGAUUAUAACCGCCAUGCCUCCGCCAAACCCCUCCAGCUAGGUGACAAAGUCUGGCUGCGGAAGUUCCCGAGAACUCAUAAACUAGACUCUAUCUGGGAGACAGAACCAUACACAGUGAUGGCCGUACCCUAUCCAUACUCUGACGUGUAUAAGGUAAAAAAAAUCUGGGAACGAGCCGCAAGUUGUCCAUCGUAACAGAAUCAAGCUGUGUCUCAAGGAAGACCUAUCCUUGCUCCCAGCACCUUCUCCACCAGGUGUCAUACCUGCAAGGGAGUAUGUGACGGGCGAGGGAAUCCACCCAUCCAUGGAUGUCCCUAUGUCCUCCCCAAGGCAACCACCAGUCUUCUGUAUCUCGCCAAACCCGGGACCUGUUCAACCAACCUUAGUCGCCACACCAGUCCUGUCACCGUUGGCACCAAUCUAUACCCUAAUCUCCAGAUCACCUGUCUCACCAGUGUCUCUGCCAACAAGUCCAAGUCCUUACAGUCCAGAACCGCUACCUACUCCAGCGUUCGAUGAGGGAGAGCCUGUUGCAAUUCCAAUCGAGUCAAGAGCUCUCGAAGAAGUAGGCAUUCCUGAAUCCCAAAAGGUGGUGCUGCGUAGGUCCCAACGGUCCACUCAAGGCCAAGUUCCAUAGUCCACUGACACCACGUUAAGUCAUGCACGCAUGUCUAUUAUCACAUUAGGGCUGUAGCAUUUAUCACAGUACCAGUACACAAAAUGUUUGUUAUGUGUAAUGUCUAAUAUUUUCAUGUGUCCACGUUCCCAGGAUACUUUACUGGCUAGAAGGUAUUCCUGUUAACUCACAGCGCACGUACAAAAAUAAGAUAACAAAUGUCUAAUGUUGCCUAGUAAUGCAUAGAGUUCUAGGGGAUGUGUGUCCAACCGAGGGACCCCAGUAGCCAAGGCAUUGGGUAAAAAGCCUCUGGCAGCCCAAUCUGAAAGUCAUGUGCAUUGUUAUGUAUAUUGUCCUAUAGUCGUAUUCCUAAAGCAGUUACUAGGUCUAAUAACCCUCACAUGUUUUUAGCGUGUAAGGACAUUUUAUCGUAGACUCUGUGGCCCCUGUGGUCAUUCUGGUCCUCCGCCCUCCAGGACUGGACGUCGAGGACGACUCCAUUAAAGAGGGGGGAUUUGUGGUGGACCAGUAUGGGAUGGUGUGUCCCUGUACUUCUCCUGCCCUGUCAGGCAGAGUCUCUCCAUGUCCCCAGGGCCCACUUUAUGUGUUAUCCCCUAUGUACAUAAUUUGAAUAAUAAAAUGUAUUGGUUCUUUAAUAGCUGUUACCAUGUGAUUGUUAACCAGCAGGCACGAGUUACCAGGUGACCCCCCAAGUGACCUAUGGGCUCCUUGCACAGCCACCCUAUAAAACCAGGCUACAAGCUCUCUCUUCCAGCAUUCUUGCUCCUGCUGAGGUCCAGUGCAUUCGUCUCAGACUGUGUCCAGAGCAUUGGAGGCCUCAAGCCUAAAGUCUGCAGCCACAAAGUCAGCUCAAGUAAGCUCAAAGUCAUCUUCAUGUCAAUUGUCAAGUCAGUCAAGUCUUCUAUAUAGUCACCGUGGCCUGCACUAAAGUGUCUCUACAUACUGCAAGUCCCAGCAAGCCUGCAAGGUCCCCCUGUGUCACUGGUCACCUCCUUGGGAUUCUGGCUGUACUGCAUAGACUGUGUCAUCUGUCUAACCUCAGUAAAGCUACCGUUUGUUCGUAACUUGGCAUCGGUGUCUUCAUUGCCUCCGUGCCUAGCCCAGGACUAGCGGUAUUACCUUCGGGUGGUUAAGGCUAAACCAUGCCCUGGCAUCACAACAAGAAGGGGUUAACACCUGCCCCUUGGGUUAUAACAUCUACCCUGCAUUGCACCCCACAGACACCACAGCUGUAUAACACACAGGCCACAUAUUGCCCUACAUUAAACCUAUCAAUGUCACUGCAAGUCACCUUUGCUUUCAUGUCAUUUGCGGAAAUGUUAGAAAUGAUAUCCUAAAAAAAAAAGCUAAUUCAACUAUGUUUUAUAAAAUAUGUGCUUUGUUAUUUGACUUUUUUUUUGCAGAGAUAUCGGAAAUUCAUUACUCAAUGCAUAUACUUGCUUUCUGAUAUUCAGUGAUCUAUGUUUGGAUAUAUAUGUGACAGUGGGAUCCUUGUAGAGUGGGUGGUCUUAAGGGAGUAGCUGAUCAGAUCUCUAGGAAACGUGGUGCAAUUCUUCGAAAGCAUAAACGUAACUGUUAUCUAAUACCAGUGAUAGAAUGGCUGGUAUAUACAACUGAUUGUACAGAGCAUCAAUAUCAUUUAUAGAGCCAUGACGGACUUGUUGCUAAUUGUUUUUCAGUGUUGCUGUCCUUUUGUGGAAGGUCUGACAGGCCCCGCCUGGACAAAGCUUCUGAACCGACCAUAUAUGGGCAUAGAGCCUUUGAACAUGUUCACGCUUACAAUCACAUUUAUAAAACAGCGUGCAACACUGACAUCUUGUGUCCUUACAGAGCUGCAGUUUUGUUGGAUAUUGACUGGGACCAUGGUGGGUAUAUGGAUCGUCAUAUGGCUGCUGGAUUACAUCCAGUAAGUUAUUGUCAUCAUUUAUGAAUUACACUUAUCUUGUCUCUAUCAUGUGAAUCAGCCAUUAUGGACACUGCUCUUACUGUAUAGAACUGUCUCAUCUUUAUAACACCUUCACUAUUUCUUUUCUAGGCAGAAAAUUAUGGAUUGGCUAGAAGUUUUAAGUAUAUAUUAACACGUGUCUUACCUAGAAUUCCACAUUCACACUAUAAAGCAAAGCAGAGGAAGGAGAGAGAAAUAAAGAAGAGGAUAAGGUGGAGGCGGGAGCAGGAGAGGAGAAAGAGGAUUGAAUGAGAGCGGAGGAUGGAGGAUGGACUAUUGGUGCAUGACAGAUAGAUAAAUACAUAGAUACAUACAUAGCUAAAUAGGUAGAUAGAUAUGAACUAGAUAUAUACAUAGCUAAAUAGGUAGAUAGAAAUGAGACAAAUAGAUAGAUCUUGAGUACUUUAAAACACUAAGUUCACACUAUUGUGAAUAUUCUUAAAGGAGUACUCUGGAAAAAAUAUUUAUUUAUUUUUUAUUUACCAACAUGCCCAGGCUGCCUGCAUUAAAAAAAAACUAUACUUACCUCCUAUGCUCUCCUGUUGCCUGCAGUAUCGCUGUCCCGGCCUGCGGUGUUAUUCUCUUCCCGAUUCUGGUGCCUCAGUUCAGACUCAGUUCUCAACUAUAUCACUCAAAAAAGUGUAUGAUGGAUGGAUGGUUCAGAUGAAAAACAUUAACUUUCCAGACCAAUUAAGGUUAUAAUAUUUAAUGUAAGAAAUAGCAAAACAAUCCUAAAAUCACAGCCGUAGGGCCCUACGGCUGUGUGAGAUAGAAAUUAAUGUUGUUAUUAUUAUAAAUAAUUUUUAUCACAAAUGGUAGAUAUGCCCUGGGGAAUAAGAAUAUUGCUCACAUCUAGUGGAUCAAAUAGACUAUUGAUAUAUAAUGUUAUAUGAUAUAUUCCUGCAGAGAAGAUAUAACAGCAAUAAAGUGCAACAGCAAUAUAGGAUUGAUAUAUCUGCGGAAUCUGUAGGCGCUAUAUAAAUAAAUAAAUAAAAUAUCCCUGCAAGGAAUUAUAUCCCUGCAAAAAAAGUAGCAACAAUUAAAUACAGCAACCGUGUCCCUGCGAACAAAAAUGUAGCAACAGUAUGUCGAUAUAGCAACAGUAGCAUGCCGGCUUGGGAUGAAAAAAGAGACUAUAGAUGAUCCUGUAAAUGGAUAGCAAAUAAUAAACCAGUCUUAUGUAGCAGAAUUGUAUAGUAGAAUAAAUCCUGCAAAGGAAAAUCAAUACUGAGCGCUUGAGAGUUCUGUGCAGAGUGAGAAUCAAACACCCCACAUAGAGGCUAUGAGCCCGGCUGGCAUGACCUGCUGUGCCAAAGAUAGAAGAACGACACAGGCACCGAAGUGCCACUCACCCACUCCGCGUUGGUCCCGAUGUCUGGGCUGUCCUGCUCUAGCUCUACCCCUGGGGUUUAGCUGGUGAAAUGAGUUUUUGCAGAUUGGAUUGUGUCUGUAUUACAAUAUAUAAUGAUGUAUUUACUCACCAUCUCUCUUAGGCUGCAUUCACACCAUGAUUGCAGCCUACAGCUGCCAGAUCCGUCUGGGGACAGGAAAACCGGGCGCUCCCAUACCCCAGUCGGACUGGCAC